rnacentral:pre_miRNA from 1 species
AAUGGAAUUGCUAGGUCAUAUGGUAAGUCUAUGUUUAACUUUUUAAAGAAAUUAAAAAACUGUUUUUCAAAGUGGCUGUACCAUCUUCAUCUUACAUUGUCAUCAGCAGU